GAUGAACGCUAGCGGCAGGCUUAACACCUGCAAGUCGAGGGGUAUAGGUUUUCGGACCUAGAGACCGGCGCACGGGUGCGUAACGCGUAUGCAAUCUACCUUUCACAGGGGGAUAGCCCAGAGAAAUUUGGAUUAAUACCUCAUAGUAUAGCAGUUUCGCAUGAAACCACUAUUAAAGUAUCAACGGUGAAAGAUGAGCAUGCGUCCCAUUAGCUAGAUGGUAAGGUAACGGCUUACCAUGGCUACGAUGGGUAGGGGUCCUGAGAGGGACAUCCCCCACACUGGUACAGGGACACGGACCAGACUCCUACGGGAGGCAGCAGUGAGGAAUAUUGGUCAAUGGACGCGAGUCUGAACCAGCCAUGCCGCGUGCAUGAUGACGGUCCUAUGGAUUGUAAACUGCUUUUGUACGAGAAGAAACAACAUUACGUGUAAUGUCUUGACGGUAUCGUAAGAAUAAGGAUCGGCUAACUCCGUGCCAGCCGCCGCGGUAAUAC
rnacentral:rRNA from 1 species